UCUCAGCAAAACGACGCCAUUGUUGUUGCUUGUAUACAUCUGCUGUAUCUCGCCAUUGUUGGUCAAUCUAUCUUCGAUUUUGACGAUCGCUUGAGUUUUUUCCCCAUACAGUCAAGCAGUUACGUUCAAGUCCAGGAAUAUCAGUCGUGGGAGGGAUACAGACAAGUACCAGGUUCUACAUCCAUGAUGUGACAGACAAUGCCCAGCGACUGAUGUAGCCAGAACAGUUGACAGCCGGUAUCGCGUCUUCUAACUCGAGACCUUGUACAAGAGUUUUCAGUUCAGAGAAUACUACAAUAAACUCGUUUCUGAAGUU